AAUAGAUACCCAGGUAGUCCACGCCGUAAACGAUGAGUGCUAAGUGUUAGGGGUUUCCGCCCCUUAGUGCUGCAGCUAACGCAUUAAGCACUCCGCCUGGGGAGUACGGUCGCAAGACUGAAACUCAAAGGAAUUGACGGGGGCCCGCACGAGCGGUGGAGCAUGUGGUUUAAUUCGAAGCAACGCGAAGAACCUUACCAGGUCUUGACAUCCCAUUGGCCACUAUGGAGACAUAGUUUUCCCUUCGGGGACAACGGUGACAGGUGGUGCAUGGUUGUCGUCAGCUCGUGUCGUGAGAUGUUGGGUUAAGUCCCGCAACGAGCGCAACCCUUGUUCUUAGUUGCCAUCAUUUAGUUGGGCACUCUAAGGAGACUGCCGGUGACAAACCGGAGGAAGGUGGGGAUGACGUCAAAUCAUCAUGCCCCUUAUGACCUGGGCUACACACGUGCUACAAUGGACGGUACAAACGGUUGCCAACCCGCGAGGGGGAGCUAAUCCGAUAAAACCGUUCUCAGUUCGGAUUGUAGGUUGCAACUCGCCUACAUGAAGCCG
rnacentral:rRNA from 1 species